GGAUUGCGAAAAACCGGGAUGUCUGGCGCGGACUUGGGGAGGCCUAUGUCCAGCAGUGGACUGCCAUAGGCUGAACUGACUGUCUUAAAAGCAUUCAAACUUUAAAUACAAAGUCUGGUACAAGCAACCAGUUCUAGCAGUAAUUUUUUUUGGACGCAAAUAAUGCCAUUUUCGAAUGAAUCUGUUAGUGUAUUUACUAUAUAUUUAUUACACAAUUUUCUUUGGAAUUUUGAUAGGAGUUUCUAUUUUAAAUAUUUUUACAACGCUACCUACCUACAUAUAAUUAUUUUGUAAGUUGUACUAGUAUAUAUAUUCAAAUAUUUAUAGUUUUAAGUAUUGUAAAUUAAGUCAUGACCACCAUCCAAAACCAUUUGUAAAAUUAACCGUUGACCCAUUCGAACGAAUUAAUUAUAUCAAAAAUAUAUGAAAAUAAUUUUUAAUACAUUGUA
rnacentral:misc_RNA from 1 species